AUUUGAGGUAGCUUCAAGAUUAGUAACAAAGGAGAAUAACAGACAAAAACUAAAUCAACUGAAGAAAGUAAGAACGGAGACCAGAGACUGGAAAACUAAGUUCAAAACAAAAAGAAGAAAAUGGCAAGAGCUUAUGGGGACUGGAUGAGAGGAAAAGCCUUGGGGGAAGUUGGGGAAGAUGAGGAGUCUCCACAAAGAAGCCAGAGAAGGAAGAACCAAUAUGAACAGUGGAAAACCAAGAGAAUAGCAAACAAAUGAAGAAAGCCUUUGGAAAAGCAUCUAAAAGGAGAAAACCUCAAGAUCCUUGUUUUCAAGAACCUUAGAACUUGAAGAAAAAUUACAUGUACUUGCAGACAACUAGAAAACAAUUCUGAAGUUAUACAAUUAUACAAAAGAUUUUACAAGAUAAGUCUCAGAAGAUUUGAGUAAAUGAGCCUAGAAUUGUGUAUCUGUUGGCUGACCAGACUGACUAAAUAAAUCAGCUCAUUUGGAGUCCUC